rnacentral:rRNA from 1 species
GUCGAGCGCCCUCUUCGGAGGGAGCGGCGGACGGGUUAGUAACGCGUGGGAACGUGCCCUUAUCUAAGGAAUAGCCACUGGAAACGGUGAGUAAUACCUUAUACGCCCUUCGGGGGAAAGAUUUAUCGGAUUUGGAUCGGCCCGCGUUAGAUUAGGUAGUUGGUGGGGUAAUGGCCUACCAAGCCUACGAUCUAUAGCUGGUUUUAGAGGAUGAUCAGCAACACUGGGACUGAGACACGGCCCAGACUCCUACGGGAGGCAGCAGUGGGGAAUCUUGGACAAUGGGCGCAAGCCUGAUCCAGCCAUGCCGCGUGAGUGAUGAAGGCCUUAGGGUCGUAAAGCUCUUUCGCCAGGGAUGAUAAUGACAGUACCUGGUAAAGAAACCCCGGCUAACUCCGUGCCAGCAGCCGCGGUAAUACGGAGGGGGUUAGCGUUGUUCGGAAUUACUGGGCGUAAAGCGCGCGUAGGCGGGUUGUUAAGUUAGAGGUGAAAUCCCGGGGCUCAACCCCGGAACUGCCUUUAAUACUGGCAACCUAGAGUUCGAGAGAGGUGAGUGGAAUUCCGAGUGUAGAGGUGAAAUUCGUAGAUAUUCGGAGGAACACCAGUGGCGAAGGCGGCUCACUGGCUCGAUACUGACGCUGAGGUGCGAAAGUGUGGGGAGCAAACAGGAUUAGAUACCCUGGUAGUCCACAC